rnacentral:lncRNA from 1 species
AUUUCCCAUAGGAGUAUUUGACAGCUCAGGAAAAAGAGGGCUCCUAUUUAAAACAAAACAAAACAAAACAAAAAAACCUGGGUGUUUUAGGCUGUUCCAGCUCUCACUAUCUUCAUCCUGCCUUUUCCAGGUGAAAUCUCAGGUCAGGCCCACCUCACCACGGCCAUGGUGGCUUCAUCCACCAAAAACACUGGAAAGCCAAAAUGGCAAACUUGGCAACUACCUCCUAUGAACUGAAGUCAAAACUUCAAUGACAUGUCUCAUUUGAACUUCAUUACUUUAAAAGGUAUGAUUUGGAAGAUUUCACACAAAAAAUUUACAUUUCUGCCUCUCC